rnacentral:rRNA from 1 species
AUGACAACGACGAACGAACCUUACAGGCUCGACAUACACCGGUAACGCCCAGAGAUGGUGCCCCUUUGUGGUCGGUGGACAGGUGGUGCAUGGUUGUCGUCAGCUCGUGUCGUGAGAUGUUGGGUUAAGUCCCGCAACGAGCGCAACCCUCGUCCUAUGUUGCCAGCGGGUCAUGCCGGGGACUCAUGGGAGACUGCCGGGGUCAACUCGGAGGAAGGUGGGAUGACGUCAAAUCAUCAUGCCCCUUAUGUCUUGGGCUUCACGCAUGCUACAAUGGCCGGUACAAAGGGCUGCGAUACCGCGAGGUGGAGCGAAUCCCAGAAAGCCGGUCUCAGUUCGGAUUGGGGUCUGCAACUCGACCCCAUGAAGUCGGAGUCGCUAGUAAUCGCAGAUCAGCAACGCUGCGGUGAAUACGUUCCCGGGCCUU